GAUGAACGCUAGCGAUAGGCUUAACACAUGCAAGUCGAGGGGCAGCACAUGAGUGGUAACACGAUGGUGGCGACCGGCGCACGGGUGAGUAACACGUAUGCAACCUACCCAUAACUGGAGAAUAACCCGUCGAAAGGCGGACUAAUACUGCAUAACAACAGUCUACCGCAUGGCAGGCUGUUUAAAGAUUUAUCGGUUAUGGAUGGGCAUGCGUUCCAUUAGAUAGUUGGUAGGGUAACGGCCUACCAAGUCUGCGAUGGAUAGGGGUUCUGAGAGGAAGGUCCCCCAAUUGGUACUGAGACACGGACCAAACUCCUACGGGAGGUCAGCAGUGAGGAAUAUUGGUCAAUGGGCGAGAGCCUGAACCAGCCAAAUCGCGUGAAGGAUGAAGGUAUUAUGUAUUGUAAACUUCUUUUGUCAGGGAAUAAAGUGCUCCAGUGUGGAGUUUUGUAAGUACCUGAAGAAUAAGGAUCGGCUAACGUCCGUGCCAGCAGCCGAC
rnacentral:rRNA from 1 species